rnacentral:rRNA from 1 species
ACGAGUAUCCAACCUUCCUUGCACUCGGGGAUAGCCUUUCGAAAGAAAGAUUAAUACCUGAUAGUAUCUUAAGCACACAUGUAAUUAAGAUUAAAGAUUUAUCGGUGUACGAUGGGGAUGCGUUCCAUUAGGUAGUAGGCGGGGUAACGGCCCACCUAGCCAACGAUGGAUAGGGGUUCUGAGAGGAAGGUCCCCCACAUUGGAACUGAGACACGGUCCAAACUCCUACGGGAGGCAGCAGUGAGGAAUAUUGGUCAAUGGACGAGAGUCUGAACCAGCCAAGUAGCGUGAAGGAUGAAGGUCCUACGGAUUGUAAACUUCUUUUAUAAGGGAAUAAACCCUCCCACGUGUGGGAGCUUGUAUGUACCUUAUGAAUAAGCAUCGGCUAACUCCGUGCCAGCAGCCGCGGUAAUACGGAGGAUGCGAGCGUUAUCCGGAUUUAUUGGGUUUAAAGGGAGCGCAGACGGGUCGUUAAGUCAGCUGUGAAAGUUUGGGGCUCAACCUUAAAAUUGCAGUUGAUACUGGCGUCCUUGAGUGCGGUUGAGGUGUGCGGAAUUCGUGGUGUAGCGGUGAAAUGCUUAGAUAUCACGAAGAACUCCGAUUGCGAAGGCAGCACACUAAUCCGUAACUGACGUUCAUGCUCGAAAGUGUGGGUAUCAAACAGGAUUAGAUA